ACGGAGGGUGCAAGCGUUAAUCGGAAUUACUGGGCGUAAAGCGCACGCAGGCGGUUUGUUAAGUCAGAUGUGAAAUCCCCGAGCUUAACUUGGGAACUGCAUUUGAAACUGGCAAGCUAGAGUCUUGUAGAGGGGGGUAGAAUUCCAGGUGUAGCGGUGAAAUGCGUAGAGAUCUGGAGGAAUACCGGUGGCGAAGGCGGCCCCCUGGACAAAGACUGACGCUCAGGUGCGAAAGCGUGGGGAGCAAACAGGA
rnacentral:rRNA from 1 species